rnacentral:lncRNA from 1 species
GUUGAUGUAGUUGCAGCACGGCUACCUCAAGACUGUAAAUGUGGUGCCAUGGUCGGGGUUGAUGCGCUCGAGCAAGGUAAGCAUCAUGGCCUCGUCGGGUCUGCGAGAAUAAGAAAAGUAUUAGCUAUAUUUCCUAGUAGGACUAGCUAGCAUCCAGAGCAUGCAUUGACUGGACACAUAUUCCCUCUAACAAAAUGACAAGAGUAUCAUCAGGAUCAUUACCUUCCCUCUUGCUAAAGUAGCAAUGUCCGUUCUUUCUGCUCCAUGGCUGGCCUAAACAAAACCGCCUUGAAGAAUAGAAAGAAGUCUCAGGUUUAUCAACCACAGCAAAACAACAGUGUGACCUAAAGAAGAAGAAUAGAAAGAGGUCUCAGGUUUAUCAAGCAUAGCAAAACAACAGUGUGACCAUCAGUCAUAGAACUAAAUAUAAAACAAAAGAGGUCUCAGGUUUACACUCUAAAGGAAGAGCUAGUUAUCCAUGAUGUCUCAGGCUUAAACAAAAGAUCAAGAUCACAAUUUUAACAAGAGAUAUGUAGUCAGUCCAAUUGAACAAGAUCUGGACAGUAGCAUUAUGAGUAUUUAAGUGGAGAUGUAGCAGGCAAUCAAAUGAAGCAACUUAAUUGUUUGCAUGGCAUUCACCAUAGUAGAUAGUACUAACCCCAGUACACAUGCAUGCAGAAAUGAUUUGCUCAAACAAUGGCUAACUGAAUUCACAAUGAAGGAAAUUUGGACUCAAG